rnacentral:rRNA from 1 species
UCGGGGGUGAAGAUACCCUCUACCCGCGGCAAGACGAAAGACCCCAUGAACCUUUACUGCAGCUUGGCAGUGAUUUUCGGGAUACUCUGCGUAGGAUAGGUGGGAGGCUUUGAAGCUGGGCUUCUGGGUUCAGCGGAGCCAACGUUGAAAUACCACCCUGGGUAUUCUGGAACUCUAACCUAGGCCCGUAAUCCGGGCCGGGGACACUGCCUGGUGGGCAGUUUGACUGGGGCGGUCGCCUCCCAAAUCGUAACGGAGGCGUGCGAAGGUUCCCUCAGCCUGAUUGGAAACCAGGCGUAGAGUGCAAACGCACAAGGGAGCUUAACUGUGAGACCGACAGGUCGAACAGGUGCGAAAGCAGGCGUUAGUGAUCCGGUGGUUCUGUAUGGAAGGGCCAUCGCUUAUCGGAUAAAAGGUACUCUGGGG